AGACCCGAAACCCGGUGAUCUAGCCAUGGGCAGGUUGAAGGUUGGGUAACACUAACUGGAGGACCGAACCGACUAAUGUUGAAAAAUUAGCGGAUGACCUGUGGCUGGGGGUGAAAGGCCAAUCAAACCGGGAGAUAGCUGGUUCUCCCCGAAAGCUAUUUAGGUAGCGCCUCGUGAAUUCAUCUCCGGGGGUAGAGCACUGUUUCGGCUAGGGGGCCAUCCCGGCUUACCAACCCGAUGCAAACUGCGAAUACCGGAGAAUGUUAUCACGGGAGACACACGGCGGGUGCUAACGUCCGUCGUGAAGAGGGAAACAACCCAGACCGCCAGCUAAGGUCCCAAAGUCAUGGUUAAGUGGGAAACGAUGUGGGAAGGCCCAGACAGCCAGGAUGUUGGCUUAGAAGCAGCCAUCAUUUAAAGAAAGCGUAAUAGCUCACUGGUCGAGUCGGCCUGCGCGGAAGAUGUAACGGGGCUAAACCAUGCACCGAAGCUGCGGCAGCGAACGUAUCACCCAAGACAACUUUACGGAGUUGACGAUUGACGGAGCGAAGCGACGUCAAAGCGUUCAUUAAAGUCGAGUUGGCUUAGGGAUACGUUCGUUGGGUAGGGGAGCGUUCUGUAAGCCUGCGAAGGUGGC
rnacentral:rRNA from 1 species